AUUGAACGCUGGCGGCAGGCCUAACACAUGCAAGUCGAGCGGAGCGGCGGACGGGGGAGUAAAAUGUGGGAAUCUGCCUGGUAGUGGGGGGUAACGUCCGGAGACGGGGACUAAUACCGCAUCCUAUCAGAUGAGCCUCGGUCGGUUUAGCUAGUGGGUGGGGUAAAGGCCUACCAAGGCGAGGAUCCGUAACUGGUCUGAGAGGAUGAGCAGCCACACGGGAACGGAGACACGGUCCAGACUCUUACGGGAGGAAGCAGUGGGGAAUAUUCGACAAUGGGCGAAAGCCUGAUCCAGCCAUGCCGGGGGUGUGAAGAAGGUCUUCGGAUUUUAAAGCACUUUAAGUUGGGCGGCGUUACCAGCAGAAUAAGCACCGGCUAACUUCGUGCCAGCAGCCGCGGUAAUUC
rnacentral:rRNA from 1 species